GCCUGAGUGGCUCAGUCAGUUGAGCGCCUGACUUCCACUCAGGUCAUGAUCUCAUGGCUCAUGUCAUGGGUUCAGACCCCAUGUCAGGCU